GCUACACAUGCAGUCGAGCGGUAACAGGUGUAGCAAUACAUGCUGACGAGCGGCGGACGGGUGAGCAAUAUUUGGGAAUCUGCCUAUUAGUGGGGGACAACCCGGGGAAACUCGGGCUAAUACCGCAUACGCACUACGGUGGAAAGCCGGGGACCGCAAGGCCUGGCGCUAAUAGAUGAGCCCAAAUCGGAUUAGCUAGUUGGUGAGGUAACGGCUCACCAAGGCGACGAUCCGUAGCUGGUCUGAGAGGACGACCAGCCACACCGGAACUGAGACACGGUCCGGACUCCUACGGGAGGCAGCAGUGGGGAAUAUUGGACAAUGGGCGAAAGCCUGAUCCAGCGACGCCGCGUGGGUGAAGAAGGCCUGCGGGUUGUAAAGCCCUUUCGGUGGGGACGAAAAGCCUCGACCUAACACGUCGGGGUCUUGACUUAACCCAAGAAAGAAGCACCGGCUAACUCUGUGCCAGCAGCCGCGGUAAUACAGAGGGUGCGAGCGUUAAUCGGAAUUACUGGGCGUAAAGCGCACGUAGGUGGCUUGGCAAGUCGGUUGUGAAAGCCCCGGGCUCAACCUGGGAACUGCAUCCGAGACUGCUUUGCUAGAGUAUGGGAGAGGGAAGUGGAAUUUCCGGUGUAGCGGUGAAAUGCGUAGAUAUCGGAAGGAACAUCAGUGGCGAAGGCGACUUCCUGGACCAAUACUGACACUCAAGUGCGAAAGCGUGGGGAGCAAACAGGAUUAGAUACCCUGGUAGUCCACGCCAUAAACGAUGAGAACUGGAUGUCGGGAGGGUCUGCCUCUCGGUGUCGUAGCUAACGCG
rnacentral:rRNA from 1 species